rnacentral:rRNA from 1 species
GACGAACGCUGGCGGCGUGCUUAACACAUGCAAGUCGAGCGGUAAGGCCCUUUCGGGGUACGACGAGCGGCGAACGGGUAGGAGUAACAACGUGGGUGGACCUCGCCCUCCAGCUCUGGGAGUAAGACCUCGGGAAACGUAGGGUCGUAACUAACCGGACGUAUGACUCCACUGACGCAUGUUGUUGGGGUGGGAAAGACCUU